UACAGGCGAGCGGGAGCUUCCCUGCCCUCUCCAAAGGACCCAGUGAAACAUGGCACUUCUUCUGCAGGAGGGGCAGCCUGCCCCCUCAGCCCAGGCUUCCCCAGGUGCCAUCCCCACCCUGCCUGACACCUCGGAGCAGCAGCUUGGUGACAUGAAAGGAUCUCCGUGGCUGGCCUUACUCCCUGUGGAUGCCACAGCUGCAGGAUACUGGUGCCCCAACAGAAGCCAGUGAAGGAAGAAUUCCUGCUCCAGCAGAAUAAAACUGCCCUUUGCCCAGAAAUCCUGCAAACUGAAGCUGGACGACUUGAAAUAAACAUCAGCGAGAUGAGCACGGAGGCCAGGUGUGAAGGGCCUCACGCCUGUUGCUGUGUGGGCCUCCCAGACAUCACCAGAGACCAAACCGCAGAAGACGCUCGGAGCCCAGGAUCUACAAACCGGCCCCGCCACAGCCCGCACGCCCAGAAACGAGUUUUUCGUCAGCUCCAAUGAUUAGCUUUUUUUUUCCUUUUGUUUCUAAGAAACACCUCUUCAAAGCAUUACGAGACAACACACCAACCCAGUUUCUGUACCAUGGAGCUUCUUGGGGAAGUUUCUGACUAGGAAACAACGGGGCUCAGGACAUAUCACCCCAAAAUAUGACUGUAAGAGGCCAGAAUAUGCCACACCAAAAUGUGACUGUAGGAGACCAGAAUACAUCACCCCAAAAAAUGACUGUAGGAGACCAGAAUAUGUCACCCCAAAAUAUGCCAUGUUGACAUGUUGAUUACUUUGAGCUAAAAGAAACUGAGAACCAGCCAACAGAUAAAAGCUCUUCGACUCCCUAAAAUAAAGCAGUAAAACUCUCUUUUCUAAAGGAAAUUGAUAUCUAUAAAGUACAUUUUCAUUAGUAAUGAUAUGUGCGCCAGGAAGAGAGCCGCGCCAGGACACAUUUUCUCACCAAGAGACUGAUAGCUUCACCACGAGGCAGCCUUUAUACCCAGAUGUUUCCUCCCUCACCCUCUCCUCGUUUGUCUCCACCGCUCCCCAGAAGCCCAGGCCCCCUUUCCUUUCUGUCACUGAGGACAGAUAUCUGCACUGCUCCCAUCUGGCUACUGCUGAGUCUCCUGUUUUUAUGGCACU